GAACGGUGUCUUCGGACACAGUGGCGGACGGGUGAGUAACGCGUGAGAAUCUAGCUUUAGGUCUGGGACAACCACUGGAAACGGUGGCUAAUACCGGAUGUGCCCUGAGGGGUGAAAGGUUAACUGCCUGAAGAUGAGCUCGCGUCUGAUUAGCUAGUUGGUGUGGUAAGAGCGCACCAAGGCGACGAUCAGUAGCUGGUCUGAGAGGACGAUCAGCCACACUGGGACUGAGACACGGCCCAGACUCCUACGGGAGGCAGCAGUGGGGAAUUUUCCGCAAUGGGCGAAAGCCUGACGGAGCAAUACCGCGUGAGGGAGGAAGGCUCUUGGGUCGUAAACCUCUUUUCUCAGGGAAGAACACAAUGACGGUACCUGAGGAAUAAGCAUCGGCUAACUCCGUGCCAGCAGCCGCGGUAAUACGGAGGAUGCAAGCGUUAUCCGGAAUGAUUGGGCGUAAAGCGUCCGCAGGUGGCUAUGUAAGUCUGCUGUUAAAGAGUCUAGCUCAACUAGAUAAGAGCAGUGGAAACUACAAGGCUAGAGUGCGUUCGGGGCAGAGGGAAUUCCUGGUGUAGCGGUGAAAUGCGUAGAGAUCAGGAAGAACACCGGUGGCGAAGGCGCUCUGCUAGGCCGCAACUGACACUGAGGGACGAAAGCUAGGGGAGCGAAUGGGAUUANAUACCCCAGUAGUCCUAGCCGUAAACGAUGGAUACUAGGCGUGGCUUGUAUCGACCCGAGCCGUGCCGUANCUAACGCGUUAAGUAUCCCGCCUGGGGAGUNCGCCGGCAACGGUGAAACUCAAAGGAAUUGACGGGGGCCC
rnacentral:rRNA from 1 species